rnacentral:rRNA from 1 species
CAGGGGCGCAUCAAGUUCACCAUCGUGCGAGUGAACCGCAGCAAAGCUCAUAUUUGAAAUCUGGCUGUCUUCGAUAGUCCGAGUUGUAAUCUAUAGAAGCGUUUUCCGUGCUGAACUGUGUCUAAGUCCCUUGGAACAGGGUAUCAAAGAGGGUGACAAUCCCGUACUUGACACAAUCAUCAGUGCUCUGUGAUACGUUCUCCAACGAGUCGAGUUGUUUGGGAAUGCAGCUCAAAAUGGGUGGUGAAUUCCAUCUAAAGCUAAAUAUUGGCGAGAGACCGAUAGCGAACAAGUACCGUGAGGGAAAGAUGAAAAGCACUUUGGAAAGAGAGUUAAACAGUACGUGAAAUUGUUAAAAGGGAAACGAUUGAAGUCAGUCGUGUUUAUUGGAUUCAGCCGGUCUUCGGUGUACUUCCUUUAAACGGGUCAACAUCAGUUUUGUUCGGUGGAUAAAGGUAUUAGGAAUGUGGCUUCUCCGGAAGUGUUAUAGCCUAGUAUCACAUACACUGGAGGAGACUGAGGAAUGCAGCUCGCCUUUAUGGCCGGGGUUCGCCCACGUUCGAGCUUAGGAUGUUGACAUAAUGGCUUUAAACGACCCGUCUUAAAA